AGAUGGGAGGUCAAUAUGGCCAAGACAUUUCAUCCUAGUGCUCUCUAGGGUUGAUUUGACUGAUCUGAAUGACCAUAGGCUUGUCCCCUUCCCCUCUGUCAAUUAGAUGAUCCCAGACAGACAAGAACACUCUGAUGAAGGGCAUAUCAGCAGCUUUCCUCUCCCACUGAAUUUCCCUACAAGCUCUCCAGACCUGACAUACAGUAGAUUCUCAGUGAAUAUCCAUUAGAUAUC
rnacentral:snRNA from 14 species